CAUGGGACACGGAAGUGGUCCCCCCAGCAGACAGGGGAUUGGGUGGGUCCCUGCCUGUCUAAGCUUCAAGAAGGCCCUCAACCUGUCCUCAGACUUCAGCCCUCACCAGCCAGCCACUCUGGUCUCUACCUACCUUCGGUGACACUGAGGAUUGUAUUUACAAGUUACUCAAUCGGCUGCCUUCACGGGCCCCCAAAGGAACCCCAGAUCAGGCUGGCCGGGACCAGGUGCUUCUCUCCGACGUCCAGAGUGAAUUCUAGGUGGCAGAGCCCGGGCGCCUUUGAUUGUACAUCUGCGGAGCUCACAAGGUCAAGCACCUGCUGUGUAUGAGGGACCAUGCUCGGCACAGAUGGCCCGGGGGAGGCUGCAGAAGAUGGGCUGCGUGCCCAUUGCGUAGACGGCAAAACGGAGGCCGGCUCGUCCGGACCAGUUCAUUUUCAAGCACCCACGGUCCAGGCCCGCACAGGCUCACACCUCGCCUCUACACGAUCCCUGGCCGCGCCCCAUUUUCAGAAGCGAGCGGAGGUGCUGGGGCACAGCUGGCUUCCUCCUGUGGCCACAGUAAUUGGGUGACGCGGCUCCCGCACGCCUUCCUGUACCCAGCCAGUACACAGCGACCAGGAGGCGCCCUGGAGUCCCAUCUGGAGAGAGUGGAGACGGUGAAAACAAAACUGAAAUCCCAGGCUGCAGCAGUGAGUUCAGCGGUCCAUCUCUGCCUUGGACCCGGAACCUGCUGUGGAGACAGAGUCGCCGAGUAGGCCCCACCUCCUGCGUCAGCCUGGCCCUGCCCAUCACCCCAGUGGCACGUCCUCAGCAAGCCCUGGAGGCUGGUGCCAGUGUCCCACCCUGAUGACCCAGCAAGGGCGAAGUGGCAGGAAGUGGCCGCACCGAAGCUCAUCUCUCGCCCCCUCGGGCAGCCGCCAGAGAGCAGCCCUGGAGCGGAGGUACUGUGUGGCUUCUGCCGCACCCUUGCCCUCUCUGGGCCCCUGGGCGUACUCUGAGCUGUCAGGCAGAGCAGUGAUGGUGAAGGUGGCAGGUACUCUAGCCAGGGGUUUGUGGACAGGCUGUAGUGGGUGAGGGGCCCAGAGACAGCCCAUGCCGUUUCUGGUGUCUUCAGGAGGAGCCCAGAGGGGGCUCGGUUCCUCAGAAACAGGCCAGAACGGGAUGAGUUGAAGACUGAGCCAGAAGCAGCGGGGCUUCCUCGGGGUUGAAUUUGACCCUCAAAGAACACAGAUUCCAGACAGGCGCAGUGCUGCACGCCCGUCAUCCCAGCGCUUUGGAGGCUGAGGCAGGAGGAUCACAAGUUCAAGCCUGGUCAACUUAACGACACCAUGUCUCAAAAUAAAAAAUAAGAAGGGCUGAGAUGGAGCUCAGUGCAAAGGCCCUGGCUUCCACUCCCAGUAUUGCAAGAAAAAAAAAGAACGAAGAAAGAAUAACAUUAAAUCCUCUUCCAUCACCGUCACCGUUGCCGCCACGGGGCAUGACGGCUCCUGCACACCCAGGACAGAAU
rnacentral:lncRNA from 1 species